CAGCCGCCACGGGAAUACGUAGGGUGCAAGCGUUAAUCGGAAUUACUGGGCGUAAAGCGUGCGCAGGCGGUUAUUCAAGACAGAUGUGAAAUCCCCGGGCUCAACCUGGGAACUGCAUUUGUGACUGGAUGACUAGAGUACGGCAGAGGGGGAUGGAAUUCCGCGUGUAGCAGUGAAAUGCGUAGAUAUGCGGAGGAACACCGAUGGCGAAGGCAAUCCCCUGGGCCUGUACUGACGCUCAUGCACGAAAGCGUGGGGAGCAAACAGGAUUAGAUACCCCAGUAGUCCCUGUCUCUUAUAA
rnacentral:rRNA from 1 species